GGAGUCUGGGCCGUGUCUCAGUCCCAAUGUGGCCGAUCACCCUCUCAGGUCGGCUACCGAUCGUCGACUUGGUGGGCCGUUACCUCACCAACUAGUUAAUCAGACGCAGGCCCAUCCUUAGCCGAUAAAUCUUUGGCUGAAAUGACAUGUGACUUUUCAGCAUUAUGAGGUUUUAAUCAUCGUUUCCAAUGGCUAUCCCUCUGCUAAGGGCAGGUUGCCUACGCGUUACUCACCCGUCCGCCGCUUUCCUCUGAUUCAUUUUGACGAAUCUCCAUUCAUCAGAUUCUCGCUCGACUUGCAUGUAUUAGGCACGCCGCCAGCGUUCAUC
rnacentral:rRNA from 1 species